UCUGAUGUAUUUUAUCAGAUCCAGCUGAUGUUCUGAUGUAUUUUAUCAGAUCCAGCUAAUGUUCUGCUGCGUGUUGUCCUGAUGGGAGGCUGCUGAGGCUCUGAGUGUUUCUGAGAACAAACCCGAGUUAAACCUGAAGUUCUGCUCUGGAUCUGUUCCACUGAACUCAGACUAACACACAGCAGUGGAUGUGCUUCUAUGUUGUGGGUUUUCUUGGUGAGACAUUAAUUAGUUUUGUGUCUCGUUAUUAACCAGGUAGCUUGUGUUAAGUUGUGACUAUCCCCAGUUAACCUGGGCGUGUUUUCUGAACAAUCACCAGGUGUUAAACACCUGACAGGAUGACAAAGAUCUAUGUGGAUGAAGCGGGAUGUUUAUCAGACUGAUCGGUGGCAUGAUACGUCAGACUGUGGUCUCUAAUUUUAUCUCUGGAUUCCAUCGUUUCCUCUCAGCUUUUAUUAAAAAAAAAAAAAAACGUGUUUUUUUUAUUGCAACCAGCACAUUUCUUUUUACUGUCUGCAAGUAAUAUUUACAUGGAUAUAGACUUUAUUAAGUAGUGAUGCCGACGUUUUUCGGCAGGUCUUCUUUAUCUAGUGUGACCGGCUGAUUAGCCAUCAUGCUGUGGGGGAACUAAUGAUUGGUUUGGCCGUUGCAGCAGGGGGUUCAAGUUGAUUGACGGACGUAGCUCCAGUAUACUCCUGAACACUCCUGAACAGACCAGUGUUCUGUGGCUGCAGUGCAGAGUCCGCCGACUGUGUCUCUGCUUAUUGGCGGCGUCAUGCGUGUGUAGGGUCGGACAGCUGAGGUAACCAAAAUGUUUGUUUAUGCUUAUUGUUAUCGUUCUGUUGCUUGAUUGUGGUUAAACAUUUCUUUGUUUCAUUACAGUUUUGCCUCUGUUGCCUUGACUUUUUGCUUGUUUAUUUUGUUGUUUCUUUCUUUUAGUUUGUAGUCGUUUUGCCUAGUUUUGUAUCAGUUUGCUUGGUUCAGUUUAGUUUCGUUUUCUCCCCGUGUGUGUUUAUCCUCAGGUUGUUGUGGCUGUGUUCUCUGGCUCCGUAAUCAGGUUUCUCCCCUCCAUAGCUGCGUAGGCCCUGUGUGACUUCCAGUUUUAAUAACUGCAUUUAUAGUAACAUUAGUGUGUGUUGUGUGCUGAACGUAUUUUUGUACCAGAAUAAAAAUUGUAUUUAUAUUUUUCUA